AAAACCUCAAGCUAAGAGAUGAUCAUUUGUAAUGCUUUUACUAUCAAAAAUCAAAAAUGUUACCUCCUCCUGCAGAAAAGGUGCCUCCCGCCGUCACCGCUCCUCUGGGCAACAGCGGACACCUGCCCGCGCCAGGCCUCAGCGUCGCAGCCUCCACGUCUCGGAAAACGAAAAGAGCCUCCUUUGCGCAGCCCACAGACACCACUCUCGGACAGCCAGCCUCACCUGCAGGUAGCAGCUGUGGGGGUGAUGGGGUCUUAGGACGAGUGGGAGUUUAAAUAUUUUCACUUAAGACAAAAGUGCUUGAAGAUCCCAAGCUUCAAAUAGAUUGUAAUAGAAAGUCCCAAAGUCGCUUUAUUGACAGGUAUUUCGGCCUCCACAGCUCAGAGCAGAUGGCAGCUGAAACAGUCACCUCGGAAACAUCCCUCUCAGCAUCCUAAAGCAGCUGUGCAGAUCCUGGGCCAACGGGGUACCUGACAGGUUUUCGGGGGGAGAAUGAGUCUGUUGUCUCUCCAGUCACUGCUCUGACCUCUCAGUGGGAAAGGGGUGGGAGGAAAGCAUGAAGACAAACGUAUCGUGAAUCUGUUCCCCGCCUUUAAGAGAAUAUACGAAAUGGUGAAUCUCUUGUACAUGGGAGAGGUUACCGUUAAGACACUCAUUGAAUUUCCAUUCUAUACACACACACAAAACACUAUUCCAGGCUAUCAUUUGCCACUACUGGCAUAUUGCCUCGAAAUCAGUUAGCAGUCUUUGUGAUUUAGGACAAAUAUCUACUGGCUUAUACAGUGUCUUGACUAAUUGUCCAUUUUCCUCAAUAUCAAAUCGACUGGAUUUUAAUAUUUUAAGCUCAAAGAAUUCACAAACCGUCAUGUGGACGUGAUGAGUAGAUUUGUAAUGUUUCAAACUCCCUGUAGAAUCUAGAAAUGCAAACUUUUAAGGUGAAAGGGAUUGAGGGAGAAAGCCAUUUAGAGAGAGUGAAGACUCAUGGUUUUCGGUCCUCAAAAGAAGCCACUGGACUUCUGCUUCUGGUCACAAUGGAGUAACAAUGAGGGGACAAAAGCUCCCACCCUAAACAGCUCCGUCAUGGCCACAGGCAGUGCAGGGGGACUGGAGCGCAGCCCUGUGUCACCCCAGCUGUCUUCCUGGAGCCAGAGAGCUGUGGGUGCCGGAGGGAACCUCGAAAGGGCCCGAUGGCCCCGAGUUCUGGGGAGAGAACUCAGUUCAGGGGGAUCAGGCGGUGGUGGUGGCAAGGAGGAGUCCCAGAGAAGCAGCAGCUUCAGGAAAAGGGAACCCGCAGGGACACACAGUGGGCCACAGAGUCCUUCCUGAGCGUAGACCGUGCCUGCCAUGAGGGAGACUCCACAGACACGCGGACCCGGGCAGGACUGUGAGGUUGUCAGUUGAAGAGCCAGACUCGACCAGGACUGAGAGCCAUUUGAGACUGACCAGCAAGCGUGGAGACAUGGUGACUGUUCUGGGCACCCAGGGUAGGCCCGGGUCACCCUCCCUUAGUAGGGCUGAUUAUCCCAGAGGUGAAGGCAGCUCUAGACGUCCCCUAUCAAGGACGAGAAAACAAGCUGUAAAAAGUCCAAAUGGUUUGCAAGAUUUACCUGCUGCCGAGACAAACGUCAACACUCUUCAAAGAAAGACAACAACACACUGACACUGAGCAGCAUCAUCUGAUUUCUAAGGGGCACAGAGUUGUUCAUAGUGUCUCCUUACUCUCCUUCUAUUGUCUGUGGAUCAGCGUCAACGGCGUGCUUUCAUUUCUGGGCCUGGUCAUGGUGUCUUCUCUCCGUUUCUCUCAGUCAGUCUGGCGACAUGUCCACUAGCUGUGCAGAUUGUUCAUGGAACCAGCCUUUGGCUUCAUUGAUAUUGUCUACUUUUCUGUCUUCAACUCCGUCGGUUUCUACUCGAGUCAUUAUUUCCCUCCUCCUGCUUGCAUUUGCUUUAAUCAAAAGCUCUUCUUUCCCUGGUUUUCCUGGGGGAGAAGUUUACGUAUCGAUCAGAGUCUUUCUCUGCUGACACGUGCGUCAGUGCUGUGAAGGUCCCAGCAGCGCUCCCUAGGUGUGUCCCACAGAUUCUGAUACGAUGCAUUUUCAUUUUCCCUUAGUUCAGAAUAUUUUUACAUUUCCCAUUGAGACUCCCUCUUGGAUGCACGGGUUGUUUAGAGGUCGGUUGUUCGAUUUCCAGCUAGGUCGGGUAUCUUCACGUUAUUGAUUUCAAGUCUAAUUCCGCUAUGGUCUGAGGACAUGCUGUUGGGAGAGGAUGACUUCAGACUCCUCCUCGGGCACGUGAGGGUGGGCCAUGGGCCUGGAGCACUUCCUCCCUGAGAGAUGAGGGGCCACACAGCCUGUGCUGGACUUGUCACCUUGUCUUUCCCUGUUUCAGACGCAGCCAAUGCUCCUUGUUCUAUUAAAGCAGGUGUGUCAUAUGGCACCUGGCCACCCCCACUGCUGUAUGUGUCCCCUGUGGGACAGGUGGAGGAAAAUAUGGAGCCUCUUAUGGGACAAGAAGGGUACACGCAGGCUCCUUACAGACAGCAUAUAGUUGUGUAUCGCUGCUUCUUCCAUUCUGACAAUCUGUCUUUAACUGAUGUGUUUAGAACUGUUAUCUUGCUAGCCGUUUUAUAUUUGCCACAUUUGUUCUUUUUUUAUUUUCCUUCUUUUUCUGCCUUCUUCAGGUUAAUUCAGCAUUUUUUAUUAUUCCAUUUUAUCUCUUCUAUUGUCUUACUAUUAAAUCUUUUUUAAAAAACCUUUUUGGGUAGUUGCCCUAGAGCUCACGAUAUACGUUAAAAUAAUCUGAGUCCACCAACAAAUAUGAUACUGCUUCAUAUGUAAGAUGUUAAGAAACAAAAUUCAACUGAGUAAAUUUGAAGAUUUAAUUGGUUCUGUUAACUGAUUCUUGAAUUGGGCAGCAUCUCAUCUGGCAAGCCGAGAGAUGUUCUGAGGGGUUACACCACCUGAAAGGUUUUUAUAGUACGGAGGGUGAGACAAGGAAAGGAAGUCAUCAGCAAGGAAGAGAUGAAAGUUCAUUGAGGGAAAGUAAAUGCUCAGGUGAUGAUGGCUUCUCAUUGGCUGAGCUUGUUGCUGAGCAAGAAGGAAGUCAUCCUUCCUCCUGCUGGAGCAGCAAAGUAGUUGCACUUCCUGUUGGGGAGUGCAAGGUAGGUCUCUUCCUAUUGGGGACCUCUUCCUGUUAGGGUCAGUAAGUGACCUCUUCCUUUUGGAGUCAGUAACUCAUAUCUUCCUGUUGGGGUCAAAAACUGACAUCCUCCUGUUGGGGUCAAUAACUGACCUCCUCCUGUUGGGGUCAGUAACUGACAUCCUCCUGUUGGGGUCAGUAACUGACAUCCUGCUGUUGGGAUAAUUGAUGAUAGGUAGUAGGGCAUGAGGGCUCCCUCUACAGGCCUUCAUGACUCCAACUUUAGUUGAGGUUUCCUUUAUUAAUCUUAGUGGUUGCCCUAGGAUUUAAAAUAUACUUUGAAAUAAUCUGCGUUCACCAACAAAUAAUCCUCUACUGCUUCCUGUAUAAGGUUCAAAUUUCUGACUCUAUCACAUUUCUUCUGCCUGAAGCACUUCCUUAAACAUUUCUCAUAAGGCAAGUCAGCUAGAAACAAAUUCCCUCUGUUUCUAUUGGUUUAGGAAAGUCUUUAUUUCUCCAUUAGUUUUGAAAGAUAUUUUUACUUGAUAUAGAAUUCUGGGUUGACUGUUAUUUUAACCCUUUAGAGACGUCACUCCCUUAUCUUACUCACAUGGUUUCUGAUGAGAAAUCUACUGUAAUUCUUAUCCUUGUUGCUCUGUAGCAACCUGGUUCUUAUAGUCUGGCUGCCUUCAAGAUUUUCAGCAUUUUGAAUAUGAUUUGCCCAGGGGUGUGCGUGCGUGUGUUUGUGUGUGUGUGUGUGUGUGUGUGUGUGUGCACGCUUGGAUGUUUAUCCUAGUUGGUAUCUUUUGAGCUUCUUGGAUCAGUGCUGUGGUGUCUAUCACUAAUUUUGGAAAAUUCUCAGCAAUUAUUUCUUCAAAUAUUAAUUCUGUCUUCUUUUUUUCCCCUGGUAUUCAAAUUACACAUAUGUAAUACUGUUGAUAAGAACACACAAGCUCCUCCUGAUAAGUUUUCAGUGCACAACACAGUGUGUGACCUUCGGGCAGCAUGGCGUACGGGGGGUCUCUAGAACACACUCGUCCCAUGUGACUGAGACUUUGUGCCUGCUGGACGACCCCACCCUCCCCAGCCCCUGGCUGCCAUCAUUCCACCCUCUGCUUCUGUGACAGUGACAACCUGAAGUCCCUCAGAGGAGUAGAACCCUAGAUUGUUGUCCUCCUGUGACUGUCUUAUUUCACUCAGCACCACGUCCUCGAGGUGCCUCUGCAUUGUCACACGUGGCAGGAUUUCCUUGCUAUUGAAAGCUGGUGAUAUUCCUGCUGUGAGUACAGGUGAUGUUUUCUGUGUCCAUUCCUCGGCCGAUGGACAUUUGAGCUGUUUCUGCAUCCUGGCUGUCGUGAAUGAUGCUGCAGUGAACACAAGAGCAAGACCCCUAUUGAGACCCUCACUUCAAUUCUUCUGGAUUUAUACCCAGAAGUGGGACUUCUAGAUCCUGUGGUAAUUCUAUUUUUUUUUCCUGCUUUAUCUCCCCAAACCCCCCUGUACAUAGUUGUAUAUCUUAGUUGCAGGUCCUUCUAGUUGUGGGAUGUGGGAUGCUGCCUCAACGUGGCCUGAUGAGCGGUGCCAUGCCCACGCCCAGGAUCCAAACGCUGGGCCGUCGCAGUGGAGUAUGCGAACUUAACCACUUGGCCAUGGAGCCGGCCCCGGUUGCCUUUUCACUCUGGUGAUGGUUUCCUUUGUGUGCAGAAGCUUUGUAGUUUGAUGUAGACCAAGUUGUCUGUUUUUGCUUUUGUUGCCUUGGCUUUUGGUGUCAAGUGCAAAAAUCAUUGCCAAAACUGAUGUCGUAAAGGCGAGGAUGCCCACUCUCUCCACUUCUCUUCAGUGCUGGAAUCCUCAGCCAGAGCAAUCAGGCAAGAAACAGAAAUAAAAGGCAUCCAAAUUGGAAAGGAAGAAGGAAGGUUAUCUGUGUUUGCAGAUGACGUGGUCUUUUAAGUAGAAAACCCUAAAGACUCCACAAAAAAACUGUUAGAUCUAAUAAACAAAUUCAGUAAAAGAGCAGGAUACAAAAUCAAUGUAUAAAAAUCUGUUGCCUUUCUGCACAUCCACAGUGAACUAUCCAAAAAGGAGCUUAAGAAAAUAAUGCCAUUUACAAUAGCAUCAAAAAGAAUAAAAUACUUAGGAAUGAAAUUAACCAAGGGAAUGAAAGCCUUGUAUGCUGAAAAUGAUAAGACAUUGCUCAAAGAAAUUGAUAAAGACACAAAUACAUGGAAAGACAUCCUGCGCUCAUGGAUUGUAAGAGUGACUAUUGUUAAAAUGUCCAUGAUACCCAAAGCAGUCUACAGAUUCAAUGCCAUCCCUACCAAAAUCAGAAUGGUAGGGGCUGGCUGGGUGGCACAGCAGUUAAGUUCGCAUGUUCCACUUCGACGACCCAGGGUUCGCCCAUUCCAAUCCCUGGUGCGGCACCACUUGGCAAGCCAUGCUGUGGUGGGCGUCCCACAAAUAAAGUAGAGGGAGAUGGGCAGUGAUGUUAGCUCAGGGCCAGUCUUCCCUGGCAAAAAGACGAGGAUUGGCAGCAGAUUUAGCUCAGGGCUAAUAUUCCUCAAAAAAAAAAAAAUCACAGUGGAAGUUUACAGAAGUAGAUAAAACAAUCCUUAAAUUCACGUGGAGUCACCAAGGACCCGGAACAGCCAAAGCAAUCUUGAAGGAAGAACACAGCUGGAGGCAUCAGCUGCCUGGUUCAAACUAUCCUAAAGCUACAGUAAUGAAAACAGUGUGGCGCUGGCAUAGAGACAGACACACAGGCCAACGGAACAGAAUCGAGAGCCCAGAAGGACACCAUACGUAUGCGGUCAACUGAUCUUCAACAUGGGAGCCGAGAUUAGUCAACAGGGAAAGGCCGGUCUCUUAACAAUGGUGCUGGAAAACUGGACAUGUGCAUGCAGGAGAAUGAAAACGGACUCUUCUCUCACACCAUCCACCCCACAAACCAGCACAGACUCACCAAGGACUUAAACGUGACACAGGAACCUGUGAGAUCCCUGGAAGAAGACUCAGGGAUGGCCUCACCUUUCUUAUCCAUGCCCGAGUUCCUCCUCUCUUCCAUCUUCUUUCACAUGGAGUAGCAUUGUCUCAUGUUUCCCAGCGUCCUGGUCUGAAAGUGGGAUGUCCACUCGCAUUAGUGUGUGGUCGCCCUGAAGUGCACCUGCAUCCUCGAUAUGAUGCUGAGGUUGGACGUCAGGAUUGUAACACAGCUGCUUACACGUGGCUUUUGCCCUAUUUUGGACAAUCUCCUCAGCGGCGUCCUGGACAUCAGAUUGCUGGGUCAAAGUUGACGUUUUAUGGUUUUUGAGAUGUUUCUGUUGAGCAUUUUUCAAAUGACACCUUGCACCUCCCACGAGCGUGGCUGUAACACAGGCCCCUCCUCUUCUCUGCUCAGUGCCACCCCUUGGGAGGUCCCAGCCCUUCUCUUUGAGGUCAUUUGUCCCCUCAGGCUGUCCUGCUGUGUAGAACUGGGGGAUGCCUCCUGUGGAACUUGAGGACCAGAGGUCAGCCCAGGAAGGCAGCUUCUCAGCAGAACCUAGGCCGUGGCUGGAGCCUGGAGGCUACAGGGCCGGGGCGCCUCCUGCCUGAGGCUGGGGAAGCCCCCUGCCCUACAGCCUCCACCUUCAUUUCUGGACUGAAGGUCAGAUGCCCCACCCUGGGGCCCAGGAGGAGCCCCUCCAACAGCCGACGAGGGUCCCAGGGAGAGGCCGGUCCAGUGACUGUUCCCUAUUGUCAGGCAGAAGCAAAGUCACAAGAUGACACGUCAUGAGCCAUGAGGGGCUUCUGCUGUGUAUCCAGGAGCCGUCCAGGGCGUGAACUAGAAGAGACGCCACCACCCAUGUGGCUGCACGACUGCAGAGGGAGAUGGCAGAUCUGGAGGGCCCCACCUGACACCCUGAGGGGCAGAGGCUCAAGACCAAGUGGAAUCGCUUGAGUCCAGCACCGUCGGCAUCCAGUACCAGGAGGGAGUGAGAGGACAGCUGUCCCUUCGCUGGACAGGAGGCCCCCGAGAAGAUGUGCUUCUCCUUAUGUCAAAGUACAGAUGAGCCCAGGAAAACAUGAUUCGGGGAUUUGGGGACCUAGAUGAGCUGAUUUUAAGUUCACAUGGAGAAAUCACUGAACAAGAAAGUCCAGGAAAACUUGAGGAGCUGUCACCAGAGGGACGAGCCUGACAGCAAUGAAAACACAGAGAUGACUCAGUGUGAUGCUGCCGUGACCCAGAACAGCCUUUCCAAGGGAACACGCGUCCCGGGAGCCACUUACAACAAGUGACACAUGCACCCCACAGAGUCACGUGUCUCUGUGGGAAAUGUGUAAUCGGAGUCAGAGAAGAGCACGGAACAGGGAAAUGUCUGCCCUUCCGAUUUCCUGAGUGGAGGGUGCUUCCGCAAACCCGCUCUUUAAAAGACCAAACAGCAAAGGGACAUGAGGUGGAAGCUGACACCUGAGGGAGGACAGCGGCUCCUGAUGACGAGGCAUCCUAUCACCUCGCUGCUGAGAGACAUGCGGAUGAAGCUGGGAAGCCCUUCAGGCUGCACCUGUCACCCCAUGGCCUGGUGGAAUGGCAGCACCCCGAAAUUCCGCCCACUGCCCGGCACCCUGACUGCUCUUGUCCAUAGCAGUUGGAGGCACUUGUCUCCUUUGUGAGCGGCUCUGCCGUCUCACACUGCCCACCUCGAUGUGAGUGCAGGAGGCACAACUCACACCGCAACUGGUCAGUCAGCAGUUGGAGGCACUCGUGCCCUCUGUGAGCGGUUCUGCCGUCUCGCACUGCCCACCUCGACGCGAGUGUCGAGUUCGUGGAGGAGGCGAAGCUCGCGCCCGCGACUGGUCAGUCAGCAGUUGGAGGCACUCGUGCCCUCUGUGAGCGGCUCUGCCGUCUCGCACUGCCCACCUCGACGCGAGUGUCGAGUUCGUGGAGGAGGCGCAGCUCGCGCCCGCGACUGGUCAGUCAGGUGAGCGUGACUUUGGGGACAGUGGCCGCCAGGGGUGGUGCCACGGGCCUCCCUUGGCUGUAGGCGAGGUGACACCGAGCCCCGAGCCCCGAUGGAGAGCCGGGCUCAGACAGCCGUCCCCGGUCCAUGGGGUGAGGGUGCUGCUCGCAUUGCCCCUGCCCGUGGGAGGAGGCUGGGG
ensembl:lncRNA